AACGAACGCUGGCGGCAUGCCUAACACAUGCAAGUCGAACGAGACCUUCGGGUAUAGUGGCGCACGGGUGCGUAACGCGUGGGAACCUGCCCUUAGGUUCGGAAUAACUCCCCGAAAGGGGUGCUAAUACCGGAUAAUGUCUUCGGACCAAAGAUUUAUCGCCUUUGGAUGGGCCCGCGUUGGAUUAGCUAGUUGGUAGGGUAAAAGCCUACCAAGGCGACGAUCCAUAGCUGGUCUGAGAGGAUGAUCAGCCACACUGGGACUGAGACACGGCCCAGACUCCUACGGGAGGCAGCAGUGGGGAAUAUUGGACAAUGGGCGAAAGCCUGAUCCAGCAAGGCCGCGUGAGUGAUGAAGGCCUUAGGGUUGUAAAGCUCUUUUACCCGGGAUGAUAAUGACAGUACCGGGAGAAUAAGCGCCGGCUAACUCCGUG
rnacentral:rRNA from 1 species